rnacentral:rRNA from 1 species
UGGGGAAUAUUGCACAAUGGGGGAAACCCUGAUGCAGCGACGCCGCGUGAACGAAGAAGGUAUUCGUAUCGUAAAGUUCUGUCCUAUGGGAAGAUAAUGACAGUACCAUAGAAGAAAGCUCCGGCUAAAUACGUGCCAGCAGCCGCGGUAAUACGUAUGGAGCGAGCGUUGUCCGGAAUUAUUGGGCGUAAAGGGUACGCAGGCGGUUUAAUAAGUCGAAUGAUAAAGAUCGGGGCUCAACCCCGCAAAGCAUUGGAAACUGAUAAACUUGAGUAGUGGAGAGGAAAGUGGAAUUCCUAGUGUAGUGGUGAAAUACGUAGAUAUUAGGAGGAAUACCAGUAGCGAAGGCGACUUUCUGGACACAAACUGACGCUGAGGUACGAAAGCGUGGGGAGCAAACAGG